rnacentral:tRNA from 1 species
GGCACCCUGGCUUAGUUGGUUAAAGUGCCUGCUGAUGAAACAGGAGAUCCUGGGUUCAAAUCCCACGUGUGUUU